GUCAUGAACCCUAUGCCUAAAGGCAGGGGCUUGUAGGAGCCCCGAUGCAUGACCAGUACAAGCGGUGAAUAUCUGCUACGUUCGAGGGGUCAUGGCACUCCGGAAUGCUUGCCAGUUCCGGACCCUGCC
rnacentral:sRNA from 17 species